rnacentral:rRNA from 1 species
UCUUGGUCAUUUAGAGGAAGUAAAAGUCGUAACAAGGUUUCCGUAGGUGAACCUGCGGAAGGAUCAUUACUGAAUUGUCAACAAGAGUUGUUGCUGGUCCUCGAAUGGGGGCAUGUGCACGCUCUGUUCACACAUCCACUCACACCCUGUGCACUCUCUGUAGUUCUAUGGCCAGGGGGCCUGCCCUCCUGCUGUGGUUCUGCAUCUUUACACAUACACUGUAACAAAGUCUCAUGGAAUGCAUGUCGCGUUUAACGCAAUACAAUACAACUUUCAGCAACGGAUCUCUUGGCUCUCGCAUCGAUGAAGAACGCAGCGAAAUGCGAUAAGUAAUGUGAAUUGCAGAAUUCAGUGAAUCAUCGAAUCUUUGAACGCACCUUGCGCCCUUUGGCCAUUCCGAAGGGCAUGCCUGUUUGAGUAUCAUGAACACCUCAACUCUUCAUGGUUUUCCAUGAUGAGCUUGGACUUUGGGGGACUUGCUGGCCUACAGUCAGCUCCUCUAAAAUAAAUCAGCUYGCCAGUGUUUGGUGGGUAUCGCAGGUGUGAUAACUAUCUACGCUUGUGGUUUUCCACCAAGUAACCUUCAGCAGUGGAGGUUCACUGGAGCUCACAGACGUCUCUCCUCAGUGAGGGACAGCCCUUUGAAUGUUUGAUCUCAAAUCAGGUAGGACUACCCGCUGAACUUAAGCAUAUCAAUAAGCGGAGGAAAAGGAACU